rnacentral:rRNA from 1 species
UACGUAGGGGGCUAGCGUUGUCCGGAAUUAUUGGGCGUAAAGAGCGUGUAGGCGGUCCGGUAAGUCGGCUGUGAAAGUCCAGGGCUCAACCCUGGGAUGCCGGUCGAUACUGCCGGACUAGAGUUCGGAAGAGGCGAGUGGAAUUCCCGGGUGUAGCGGUGAAAUGCGCAGAUAUCGGGGAAGAACACCUGACUAGGCGAAGGCAGCUGCG